rnacentral:sRNA from 1 species
AUGGAAGAUUGUAUGCGUUGCUGGAUCAAAAAGGGAGUGAAGAUGUCGGUUACACCAUGGUAUAUUCUGUUUUCUAUGUGUUUAGGCCCUGUCGUUUUCGGUCAAAACCUUUACAAUGACUAUUUCGGGCGGGGCAAUAGAAUAGGCAACACAGUCGAUAUAAUUGGAAGUGGAAGAAGACUGAUCACAGGUUACAAUCCCUUCUCGACCGGUCGUUUAGGAAGUCUUGACGAUUCUAGGGAAGUCCUAGGGUCGACCUUAAACCCAAGAUCUUCUUUCCUUAGACGACCGGUUGUGACGUCGCCAUAUUCAUUGAGCAGACUGGGUACUAGAUCAAGAGUUUUGAAUGAUUCUGGAGAACGGGGCAGCAACUGGUCAAAUAUAUUCAGUCGACUUAACAGGAGAAGGUACUUACGUAGAGGAGGGGAUAGCUCUGAAGAAAAGAUAGGAGGGCGAUUCAACCGUUACAACAGGAGGCGAAUGGGAGGAGAUAGUUCAGAGGAAAGGGGGCGUGCUCAGAAGAGAGAGGACGCGGUCGUCUGUACAGCCGAUUUAAUAGGAGGAGAUGGAAUGACAGUUCAGAAGAACGGAGAGGUGGCUUCCGUGGUCUCUACAGCAGAUACAACAGAAGGUGGGGUGAUGAUUCAGGGGAGCGUCGAGGGCGAUGGGGCAGGUUUUGGAGAAGAGGGUCUGACGAAAACUCCGGAGAGCGGUUUUUCAGGAGAGGAAGGCGAUUUAGCACACGCAGCCCCUACAGGGAUCUUAACGACUCUGAUGAACGGGGUCUGUUCAGCAGAGGAAGAAGGAAUUACAGAUCUGUCAUUUCUCGAUUAAGGUCUCCAUAUUCUUAUUCCAGGAAUAACUAUAACUGGCGCAAUAGGUUGUCUUUGUUCAACAAUAACUGGAGGGGAUAAACG